GACGAACGCUGGCGGCGUGCCUAAUACAUGCAAGUUGAGCGAUGAAGAUUGGUGCUUGCACCAAUUUGAAGAGCAGCGAACGGGUGAGUAACGCGUGGGGAAUCUGCCUUUGAGCGGGGGACAACAUUUGGAAACGAAUGCUAAUACCGCAUAACAACUUUAAACAUAAGUUUUAAGUUUGAAAGAUGCAAUUGCAUCACUCAAAGAUGAUCCCGCGUUGUAUUAGCUAGUUGGUGAGGUAAAGGCUCACCAAGGCGAUGAUACAUAGCCGACCUGAGAGGGUGAUCGGCCACAUUGGGACUGAGACACGGCCCAAACUCCUACGGGAGGCAGCAGUAGGGAAUCUUCGGCAAUGGACGAAAGUCUGGCCGAGCAACGCCGCGUGAGUGAAGAAGGUUUUCGGAUCGUAAAACUCUGUUGGUGGAGAAGAACGUUGGUGAGAGUGGAAAGCUCAUCAAGUGACGGUAACUACCCAGAAAGGGACGGCUAACUACGUG
rnacentral:rRNA from 1 species